rnacentral:rRNA from 1 species
CAGGUAGGGAUACCCGCUGAACU